GACGAACGCUGGCGGCGUGCUUAACACAUGCAAGUCGAACGGAAAGGCCCUGCUUUUGUGGGGUGCUCGAGUGGCGAACGGGUGAGUAACACGUGAGUAACCUGCCCUUGACUUUGGGAUAACUUCAGGAAACUGGGGCUAAUACCGGAUAGGAGCUCCUGCUGCAUGGUGGGGGUUGGAAAGUUUCGGCGGUUGGGGAUGGACUCGCGGCUUAUCAGCUUGUUGGUGGGGUAGUGGCUUACCAAGGCUUUGACGGGUAGCCGGCCUGAGAGGGUGACCGGCGGCACUGGGACUGAGGGACGGCCGAGAGUGCUACGGGAGGGAGAAGGGGGGAAUAUUGCCGAAGGGGCGGAAGGCUGGUGCAGCAACGCCGCGUGCGGGAUGACGGCCUUCGGGUUGUAAACCGCUUUCGCCUGUGACGAAGCGUGAGUGACGGUAAUGGGUAAAGAAGCACCGGCUAACUACGGG
rnacentral:rRNA from 1 species